UUGUGCAUUAGGAGAGGAUCUCGGCAUACUCAGCACCUUCUCUUGUGCCAAAAUGAAUGUCUUUGGAUCAGAUGCACCCUGGCUUAGUCGAAUAACCAUCUUUUCAAGAAUGAGAGCGUUUUCCAACAGAAUUUGUAAGGCCGGAAUUAUUGAAGGGUCGCGCAUAGACCAAGUAGCCUCAAAUGUCUUUAGAUGGAGAAGAGAGGGACUGGGAAAACUCAUCUUAGCAUACGCCAAUGUAUCAACCAUAGCAUUGUGAACCUCUUCACUAUCGUCAAAACGAGGAGCCUGCCAUGUCUUAUUAGCCCAAAAUACGAUGUUAAUAUUAAUCCAAAAAUCCCAAACAUUGAAUUGAAGUUUAUGAACGAAAGUGAAUAGAUAAUAGAAUUGACGACUAGGAAAGAAAAAGUCAUCUUAGCAGACGCCAAUGAAUUACAUUCAUUAACCAUAGCAAAGUGAAUCACUUCACCGGAGGUGCCAUCAUUAAUACUCUGCAAUGUAUUAUUAGCCGAAAAGACGAUGUUAAUGUUAAUCCAAAAAUCCCAAACAUUGAAUUGAAGCCUAGGAAGUGAAUUGAAGACUAGGAAAUAAAAAUCCCCCAACAUAAAUUUAAUGAUUUGAUGAUCGAUGUGCAAAGUAAAGACUAAUCUAUAACUCCUCUUACUUAGUUAAAGAGCUUCAAAUGAUAAAAUAUACAAUAAGUGAAUAAAAGAGAGACCUGGAGGCUGCCUUGAUCAACGAUUAACCUCUCUAGCUUGGGAAACAUCAUCCCAACCAAAUCAAGCAUAUCUUCGGCACCUAUAGUGUCGAGCUCUAGAAUCUUAGAAUUCAACAACGGCAUAACCAUAUCUUCAUUCUUUAAUUUGAAAAGCAUCUGCCAAAGUAAAACAAAGAGUAUUUUGGAAGAGGGCAGAAAUGUAGUAAAAGUGUAAUACAACAAAUGACUACAAAACAAUGAACAAUUAAGAAACAUAACUAGAGAAAUAUAAGAAAAUCAAACCUCAAUGCAGCAAUGUGAUAACGUGACCUUCUCAACAUUGCGGAUGCUUAGAAAAACAUGAUUAACCAAUUUAAAUCGUGCUGCUACAUCUCCAUCGUGCACCAAAGAAAGAAUUGCAUGAGUCAAAGACGGGGCAUCCAACAAACAAGUACCAUAAAAACGAGCCUCAAGAACAAAAUUCAAGAGAUUAGGAGCCCAAAUUCUCAGCACUGUAGUUUCAUGCCAAAUAUAACCCGUUUGUAUCUUGAGUAUCUUCAAACUAGUAGAUCGGAUAUUGAAGUUUUCGUUUUCACCAAUUUUGAAAGACU
rnacentral:lncRNA from 1 species